rnacentral:lncRNA from 1 species
CACUCUGUCACCCAGGCUGGAAUGCAAUGGCACAGUCUCGGCUCACUGCAGCCUCCACCUCCUGGGCUCAAGCAAUCCUCCCACCUCAGCCUCCUGAGUAGCUGGGAUUUCCUUAGGGCGGGCUCUGUUGUGACCUUCCCUGUGACCUGGGCAUUUCCCAGUUUCUGCCCCUGGAAAUCAGAGCCAGGGAUCUGGGCUGGGGAAUUUUAGGGGCUACUAAGUGGUAGAACUGGGACUUGAGCUUCUGAGCUGGGGUGCUUCACCACCCUGCACACACUGAGCCAGAUUGACCCCCUUGCCCAGCAGUCAGGGAUCGUGGUGGCAGGUGGCCUUUCACCCUGGGUGCCUUUGGAACUUGCAGAUGCAAGGAGAAAGAACAGGCCUCAAGCCCGCAGUUCACAUGGCCCCUCCCCAUGUGAAUUUUCAUGGUGCUGUUUAUAUGCUAGCAGAAGCUGGGCAAAGUGAGUGUUCAGGUGGCCCUGAUCCUGCCCAGUUUCUGGGUGAAUGGGGGCAAGUUGGAGAGGUUGGGA